CCAGACUCCUGCGGGAGGCAGCAGUGGGGAAUAUUGCGCAAUGGGCGAAAGCCUGACGCAGCGACGCCGCGUGGGGGAUGACGGCCUUCGGGUUGUAAACCUCUUUUACCACCAACGCAGGCUCGAAGUUUUCUUCGGGUUGACGGUAGGUGGGGAAUAAGGACCGGCUAACUACGUGCCAGCAGCCGCGGUAAUACGUAGGGUCCGAGCGUUGUCCGGAAUUAUUGGGCGUAAAGAGCUCGUAGGCGGCGUGUCGCGUCUGCUGUGAAAGACCGGGGCUUAACUCCGGUUCUGCAGUGGAUACGGGCAUGCUAGAGGUAGGUAGGGGAGACUGGAAUUCCUGGUGUAGCGGUGAAAUGCGCAGAUAUCAGGAGGAACACCGGUGGCGAAGGCGGGUCUCUGGGCCUUACCUGACGCUGAGGAGCGAAAGCAUGGGGAGCGAACAGGAUUAGAUACCCUGGUAGUCCAUGCCGUAAACGUUGGGCGCUAGGUGUGGGGACUUUCCACGGUUUCCGCGCCGUAGCUAACGCAUUAAGCGCCCCGCCUGGGGAGUACGGCCGCAAGGCUAAAACUCAAAGGAAUUGACGGGGGCCCGCACAAGCGGCGGAGCAUGUUGCUUAAUUCGACGCAACGCGAAGAACCUUACCAAGGUUUGACAUCACCCGUGGACUCGCAGAGAUGUGAGGUCAUUUAGUUGGCGGGUGACAGGUGGUGCAUGGCUGUCGUCAGCUCGUGUCGUGAGAUGUUGGGUUAAGUCCCGCAACGAGCGCAACCCUUGUUCCAUGUUGCCAGCACGUAAUGGUGGGGACUCAUGGGAGACUGCCGGGGUCAACUCGGAGGAAGGUGGGGAUGACGUCAAGUCAUCAUGCCCCUUAUGUCUUGGGCUGCAAACAUGCUACAAUGGCCGGUACAAUGGGCGUGCGAUACCGUAAGGUGGAGCGAA
rnacentral:rRNA from 1 species